CCUGUUUAUCAAAAACAUCGUUUACUUAAUUUAUAGUAGAUAGAGUCUGCCCGCUGUAAAUUUAUAAAAGGCCGSGGUAUCGCUGACCGUGCUAAGGUAGCAUAAUCACUCGUCUCUUAAUAGAAGACUCGUAUAAACGACCUGACGGAAGGUAAGCUGUCUCAACUGUAUAUCUGAAUCUGACAUAGAGGUAAAAAGGCCUUUACCACCAAGGGGACGAUCAGACCCUAAAAACUUUAUCUGUCUAAGCCCCAUUAUUCUUCAACACAAUAUGAGUUUAUAUAGAUUUUGCUGGGGCGGCAUUUUUUAACAUAAAAACAAACCUACCUAAAACAUCUUGUAUGACCUUUAUAACACAUUCUUAAGACUAAAGACCAGUUACUUUAGGGAUAACAGCGCAACCCCUUCUAGAGCCCCUAUCGACAAGUAGGUAAGCGACCUCGAUGUUGAAUUGAGACUCCCUAUUGAGCAGCCUCAAUAAAGGACAGGACUGUUCGUCCUAAAAUCCUCACAUGAUCUGAGUUCAAACCGG
rnacentral:rRNA from 1 species